GACGCAGGACGGGUCUUACUUGAGCACUGCCUGAGCAGGCAGUAACCAGAAGAGCUAGCAGCCAAUCCGGCCAUGCUGCACUGUUUGAAACCAGCUCCUCAUCUCAGCCAAUCAGUGACAUUAUUGAUCCUGAGCUUCAGAUGUUAUUAUUCAAAGGAAAGACUCCCAUUGAUUUAGGAUGGAGCGAUAUACAAACAGAAGGAACAUGGGAGUUG